rnacentral:tRNA from 1 species
GGAGGGGUCGCAUAGUGGUCUAGUGCGCCAUCUUGGAAAGGUGGUAUAGGGGCAACUCUAUCGAGGGUUCGAAUCCCUCUCCCUCCGCCA